rnacentral:rRNA from 1 species
UACGUAGGGUGCAAGCGUUGUCCGGAAUUAUUGGGCGUAAAGAGCUCGUAGGCGGCUCGUCACGUCGGCUGUGAAAACCCGGGGCUCAACCCCGGGCCUGCAGUCGAUACGGGCGAGCUAGAGUUCGGCAGGGGAGACUGGAAUUCCAGGUGUAGCGGUGAAAUGCGUAGAUAUCUGGAGGAAUACCGGUGGCGAAGGCGGCAUCCUGGACCAUUACUGACGCUUAAGCGCGAAAGCUAGGGGAGCAAACGGG